rnacentral:rRNA from 1 species
UCUGAUUAGCUAGUUGGUGGGGUAAAGGCUUACCAAGGCAACGAUCAGUAGUUGGUCUGAGAGGACGACCAACCACACUGGGACUGAGACACGGCCCAGACUCCUACGGGAGGCAGCAGUGGGGAAUUUUGGACAAUGGGCGAAAGCCUGAUCCAGCCAUGCCGCGUGAGUGAAGAAGGCCUUCGGGUUGUAAAGCUCUUUUAGUCGGAAAGAAAGAGUUGCAAUGAAUAAUUGUGAUUUAUGACGGUACCGACAGAAAAAGCACCGGCUAACUACGUGCCAGCAGCCGCGGUAAUACGUAGGGUGCGAGCGUUAAUCGGAAUUACUGGGCGUAAAGGGUGCGCAGGCGGUCUUGCAAGUCAGAUGUGAAAGCCCCGGGCUUAACCUGGGAAUUGCGUUUGAAACUACAAAGCUAG